rnacentral:rRNA from 1 species
GAUGAACGCUGGCGGCGUGCCUAAUACAUGCAAGUCGAGCGAACAGACGAGGAGCUUGCUCCUCUGACGUUAGCGGCGGACGGGUGAGUAACACGUGGAUAACCUACCUAUAAGACUGGGAUAACUUCGGGAAACCGGAGCUAAUACCGGAUAAUAUAUUGAACCGCAUGGUUCAAUAGUGAAAGACGGUUUUGCUGUCACUUAUAGAUGGAUCCGCGCCGCAUUAGCUAGUUGGUAAGGUAACGGCUUACCAAGGCGACGAUGCGUAGCCGACCUGAGAGGGUGAUCGGGCACACUGGAACUGAGACACGGUCCAGACUCCUACGGGAGGCAGCAGUAGGGAAUCUUCCGCAAUGGGCGAAAGCCUGACGGAGCAACGCCGCGUGAGUGAUGAAGGUCUUCGGAUCGUAAAACUCUGUUAUUAGGGAAGAACAAAUGUGUAAGUAACUAUGCACGUCUUGACGGUACCUAAUCAGAAAGCCACGGCUAACUACGUG